AUAAACACUCCCAGAGCACUGAAGCAUGUGCUGCCAAUGCAAAGUGUCCUCUAAGUAUGGAAACAUCUUUACCACAUUCCCCCAAUCUUACUGUCAUUCUCACACUCAGUCACAAUGGGAGAUUUCUUGGAAAAUAUUGAGGUUACAAGUGCAUGUAGAGAAAUGACAGAAGUUCAGGCUUUCACUUUAAUUCCAUCAGGAUUCAGACUGACUUCAGAGGAUAUUUUAAGGAGACCAGCAUUAUAACGUUAUUCUUUACUGUCUUUAUGUAUCAUGUAAAUUUUGUUACUGACUGUAGAGACAAAUCUCCUCACUAAUCUAUCAUUUGGUGUUAUUUCUCCUCCAGACUUCUGCAUUUUGUACAGUAUACUGUGCUCCAGAUUUAGGUGUCUGUGUGUGUGUGUGUGUGUGUGUGUGUGUGUGUGUGUGUGUGUGUGUGUGUGUGUGUGUGUGUGCUUGCACGUGUGUUCACUGUAGUGCAACAGGGGUUUUUGUACGACGGUUUCAUUAAAAUGUAUCACUGUGGUACACUUUUGGUGGAGGAACAAAACUCAGCAUCAAGGGUCCCACUGUGAAGCCCGCCGUGUCUCUGCUCCAUCCAUCGUCUCUGCAGCUCUCUAAGGGACCGGCCUCACUGCUCUGCCUGCUGUCUGCCUACUCUCCACAGGGGGCGACAGUGAGCUGGACAGUGGACGGCUCAGUGGUGAAUGAAGGUGUUCUAACCAGCCCUGAAGAACAGAAGAAGGACGGUUACACACGCAGCAGCACUCUGACUCUCAGCAAAGCACUCUGGGAAAAGGGGGAGGAGUUUGUCUGUACCGUCUCCCAUGACUGUGUCAAUCAUCCGGUCACGUUCAGAAAGAGCCAGUGUGAAGACUAACAGCUCCAAGAUAGAAUUAAACACUGAGCUGCUCACACAUCCAUCUACAAUAGAGUUUCAAUUCUACACAAUGCUGAUAUUCCUGUCUUUACUCUCUUCACUGUCCUGUUGCUCUUCCUGUAGUUUUGCUCUGCUGAAAUAAAGCUUCAUUUUGGA